GAAUAAUUCAAACGUUCUCCUUGCAAAUCGGUAUACUCACUUCCCUUCGAACGCGAUCUAGAAAGAGUUUAUAUUUAAAAUAGAGGAUACUAUGCUUUCGAAGCGUUACGACGUUUUCACUUGGGAAAACUGGUCCCCGACACACGAGCAAACACUGGUCCAUGGGAAUCGUUCGAAUUCUAGGCUUGAGAAAGAAUACUUUGGAGCGCGUGUUAAACUUCACACGCAAUCCUGCGUGUGUACACACUGGGUUCAUUCCGCUCGAGGUCGAUGCAUUAGCAUUAUUAACACUUGCCAGCAGAGAGUGGUCAGCCCAAAAAGGAGAGAUCGACCGAACGAUAUUAGAGAUCAGCGUCAAAGGCGGGUUUUUUUCGGCCAGGGUUUACUGAAGCUACAAUUUUAAACGUGGUGGAUGGGUAUUACGUACGAUUACAUACUCGACCUUCACUUUUAAUUAAACAUACCACGCAAAAUUGGAUCGAGUUGAGUAAGGAUAUAGCGAACUGGUUCGAAUACAGCGAUUGAAUGUAGAGUCAGGAAUAAAUGGUACCUUGCUAGAGUUUGAGUGCCGAUAUAGAAAUAAACUGGUACUUAAUAGACUAGAGUUUUAGUGUCGCUGUAUAUAUAAAUGAAGUACAUAGUA